CGGGACACGUGGUAUCCUGUCUGAAUAUGGGGGGACCAUCCUCCAAGGCUAAAUACUCCUGACUGACCGAUAGUGAACCAGUACCGUGAGGGAAAGGCGAAAAGAACCCCGGCGAGGGGAGUGAAAAAGAACCUGAAACCGUGUACGUACAAGCAGUGGGAGCACGCUUAGGCGUGUGACUGCGUACCUUUUGUAUAAUGGGUCAGCGACUUAUAUUCUGUAGCAAGGUUAACCGAAUAGGGGAGCCGAAGGGAAACCGAGUCUUAACUGGGCGUUAAGUUGCAGGGUAUAGACCCGAAACCCGGUGAUCUAGCCAUGGGCAGGUUGAAGGUUGGGUAACACUAACUGGAGGACCGAACCGACUAAUGUUGAAAAAUUAGCGGAUGACUUGUGGCUGGGGGUGAAAGGCCAAUCAAACCGGGAGAUAGCUGGUUCUCCCCGAAAGCUAUUUAGGUAGCGCCUCGUGAAUUCAUCUCCGGGGGUAGAGCACUGUUUCGGCAAGGGGGUCAUCCCGACUUACCAACCCGAUGCAAACUGCGAAUACCGGAGAAUGUUAUCACGGGAGACACACGGCGGGUGCUAACGUCCGUCGUGAAGAGGGAAACAACCCAGACCGCCAGCUAAGGUCCCAAAGUCAUGGUUAAGUGGGAAACGAUGUGGGAAGGCCCAGACAGCCAGGAUGUUGGCUUAGAAGCAGCCAUCAUUUAAAGAAAGCGUAAUAGCUCACUGGUCGAGUCGGCCUGCGCGGAAGAUGUAACGGGGCUAAACCAUGCACCGAAGCUGCGGCAGCGACACUGUGUGUUGUUGGGUAGGGGAGCGUUCUGUAAGCCUGCGAAGGUGUGCUGUGAGGCAUGCUGGAGGUAUCAGAAGUGCGAAUGCUGACAUAAGUAACGAUAAAGCGGGUGAAAAGCCCGCUCGCCGGAAGACCAAGGGUUCCUGUCCAACGUUAAUCGGGGCAGGGUGAGUCGACCCCUAAGGCGAGGCCGAAAGGCGUAGUCGAUGGGAAACAGGUUAAUAUUCCUGUACUUGGUGUUACUGCGAAGGGGGGACGGAGAAGGCUAUGUUGGCCGGGCGACGGUUGUCCCGGUUUAAGCGUGUAGGCUGGUUUUCCAGGCAAAUCCGGAAAAUCAAGGCUGAGGCGUGAUGACGAGGCACUACGGUGCUGAAGCAACAAAUGCCCUGCUUCCAGGAAAAGCCUCUAAGCAUCAGGUAACAUCAAAUCGUACCCCAAACCGACACAGGUGGUCAGGUAGAGAAUACCAAGGCGCUUGAGAGAACUCGGGUGAAGGAACUAGGCAAAAUGGUGCCGUAACUUCGGGAGAAGGCACGCUGAUAUGUAGGUGAAGUCCCUCGCGGAUGGAGCUGAAAUCAGUCGAAGAUACCAGCUGGCUGCAACUGUUUAUUAAAAACACAGCACUGUGCAAACACGAAAGUGGACGUAUACGGUGUGACGCCUGCCCGGUGCCGGAAGGUUAAUUGAUGGGGUCAGCGCAAGCGAAGCUCUUGAUCGAAGCCCCGGUAAACGGCGGCCGUAACUAUAACGGUCCUAAGGUAGCGAAAUUCCUUGUCGGGUAAGUUCCGACCUGCACGAAUGGCGUAAUGAUGGCCAGGCUGUCUCCACCCGAGACUCAGUGAAAUUGAACUCGCUGUGAAGAUGCAGUGUACCCGCGGCAAGACGGAAAGACCCCGUGAACCUUUACUAUAGCUUGACACUGAACAUUGAGCCUUGAUGUGUAGGAUAGGUGGGAGGCUUUGAAGUGUGGACGCCAGUCUGCAUGGAGCCGACCUUGAAAUACCACCCUUUAAUGUUUGAUGUUCUAACGUUGACCCGUGAUCCGGGUUGCGGACAGUGUCUGGUGGG
rnacentral:rRNA from 1 species